rnacentral:lncRNA from 1 species
AGCAUCCGUAUUAAAAGCAACCGAGUCAGCAUCUACUUCUUCGAAUAUUUUAGCUCAGGGUAUCAAGACAAGUUCUGUAGAAAUGAUUAAUGAUGUGUGCCCUUUGGCUCAAAUGGCUGCAUUUUCACAUCAAACUUUAGAUUGAUUACAUACAAACCUGUGCAUCUGGAAAAGUUUUAAGGCAUACCAUGCCCUAUAUAAAUAGAUUUCAAUUGCUUUGUCAUCCAAACACAGAGG